rnacentral:rRNA from 1 species
UUAAGUUAUUAAGGGCGCACGGUGGAUGCCUUGGCACUAGAAGCCGAUGAAGGACGUUACUAACGACGAUAUGCUUUGGGGAGCUGUAAGUAAGCUUUGAUCCAGAGAUUUCCGAAUGGGGAAACCCAGCAUGAGUUAUGUCAUGUUAUCGAUAUGUGAAUACAUAGCAUAUCAGAAGGUACACCCGGAGAACUGAAACAUCUUAGUACCCGGAGGAAGAGAAAGAAAAUUCGAUUCCCUUAGUAGCGGCGAGCGAAACGGGAAGAGCCCAAACCAACAAGCUUGCUUGUUGGGGUUGUAGGACACUCUAUACGGAGUUACAAAGGACGACAUUAGACGAAUCAUCUGGAAAGAUGAAUCAAAGAAGGUAAUAAUCCUGUAGUCGAAAAUGUUGUCUCUCUUGAGUGGAUCCUGAGUACGACGGAGCACGUGAAAUUCCGUUGGAAUCUGGGAGGACCAUCUCCUAAGGCUAAAUACUCUCUAGUGACCGAUAGUGAACCAGUACCGUGAGGGAAAGGUGAAAAGCACCCCGGAAGGGGAGUGAAAUAGAACCUGAAACCGUGUGCUUACAAGUAGUCAGAGCCCGUUAAUGGGUGAUGGCGUGCCUUUUGUAGAAUGAACCGGCGAGUUACGAUUUGAUGCAAGGUUAAGCAGUAAAUGUGGAGCCGUAGCGAAAGCGAGUCUGAAUAGGGCGUUUAGUAUUUGGUCGUAGACCCGAAACCAGGUGAUCUACCCUUGGUCAGGUUGAAGUUCAGGUAACACUGAAUGGAGGACCGAACCGACUUACGUUGAAAAGUGAGCGGAUGAACUGAGGGUAGCGGAGAAAUUCCAAUCGAACCUGGAGAUAGCUGGUUCUCUCCGAAAUAGCUUUAGGGCUAGCCUCAAGUGAUGAUUAUUGGAGGUAGAGCACUGUUUGGACGAGGGGCCCCUCUCGGGUUACCGAAUUCAGACAAACUCCGAAUGCCAAUUAAUUUAACUUGGGAGUCAGAACAUGGGUGAUAAGGUCCGUGUUCGAAAGGGAAACAGCCCAGACCACCAGCUAAGGUCCCAAAAUAUAUGUUAAGUGGAAAAGGAUGUGGCGUUGCCCAGACAACUAGGAUGUUGGCUUAGAAGCAGCCAUCAUUUAAAGAGUGCGUAAUAGCUCACUAGUCGAGUGACACUGCGCCGAAAAUGUACCGGGGCUAAACAUAUUACCGAAGCUGUGGAUUGUCCUUUGGACAAUGGUAGGAGAGCGUUCUAAGGGCGUUGAAGCAUGAUCGUAAGGACAUGUGGAGCGCUUAGAAGUGAGAAUGCCGGUGUGAGUAGCGAAAGACGGGUGAGAAUCCCGUCCACCGAUUGACUAAGGUUUCCAGAGGAAGGCUCGUCCGCUCUGGGUUAGUCGGGUCCUAAGCUGAGGCCGACAGGCGUAGGCGAUGGAUAACAGGUUGAUAUUCCUGUACCACCUAUAAUCGUUUUAAUCGAUGGGGGGACGCAGUAGGAUAGGCGAAGCGUGCGAUUGGAUUGCACGUCUAAGCAGUAAGGCUGAGUAUUAGGCAAAUCCGGUACUCAUUAAGGCUGAGCUGUGAUGGGGAGAAGACAUUGUGUCUUCGAGUCGUUGAUUUCACACUGCCGAGAAAAGCCUCUAGAUAGAAAAUAGGUGCCCGUACCGCAAACCGACACAGGUAGUCAAGAUGAGAAUUCUAAGGUGAGCGAGCGAACUCUCGUUAAGGAACUCGGCAAAAUGACCCCGUAACUUCGGGAGAAGGGGUGCUCUUUAGGGUUAACGCCCAGAAGAGCCGCAGUGAAUAGGCCCAAGCGACUGUUUAUCAAAAACACAGGUCUCUGCUAAACCGUAAGGUGAUGUAUAGGGGCUGACGCCUGCCCGGUGCUGGAAGGUUAAGAGGAGUGGUUAGCUUCUGCGAAGCUACGAAUCGAAGCCCCAGUAAACGGCGGCCGUAACUAUAACGGUCCUAAGGUAGCGAAAUUCCUUGUCGGGUAAGUUCCGACCCGCACGAAAGGCGUAACGAUUUGGGCACUGUCUCAACGAGAGACUCGGUGAAAUCAUAGUACCUGUGAAGAUGCAGGUUACCCGCGACAGGACGGA